GGAAGAUGGAAGCAGUCAGAAGCCUUUUGGAAGGAACCUUUGUGGCCUGCAGUACCUCUGGGACACUGUCUUCGGCAAAUAUGUCAGUGAGGUUGCAAAAUAUCAGGAUGGCUCUGGGCAGAGAAGGUGAAGGCAGAAGUGAAGGUGUGUAACAUACUCUGCAUGGCAAGCCUGAAGUGUGUCAAGCAUUGGAAGGAACAAUGAAUUGCUUUGAGUUCCUG
rnacentral:lncRNA from 12 species